UACGUAGGGGGCAAGCGUUGUCCGGAAUCAUUGGGCGUAAAGCGCGCGUAGGCGGCCCGGUAAGUCCGUUGUGAAAGUCAAAGGCUCAACCUUUGAAUGCCGAUGGAUACUGCCGGGCUAGAGUCCGGAAGAGGCGAGUGGAAUUCCUGGUGUAGCGGUGGAAUGCGCAGAUAUCAGGAGGAACACCAAUAGCGAAGGCAGCUCGCUGGGACGGUACUGACGCUAAGGCGCGAAAGCGUGGGGAGCGAACAGG
rnacentral:rRNA from 1 species